CUCGCCAGCUGCCACUCGCCAGCGGAAAAACGACUGAUAUUAACGUGUUACUCGUGAUAGCCUUUCUGGUCGUCGUCGCUACAACCAGUGCAGAUGCCUCCGACUAUUUUGACACUCAAGGACCUAAUUUCUCGCAUGAGCCGCCAUAGCGCACCGAAUUCACUAACAGUGCUGGCAGCAUUGCCGAUUACAUAGCACAUGGCAAACCACCGCCGAAUUGUCGAAUGGCUGGACAAGGACAAUAAUCCCAUCACUUCGAUAUCAAAGUUAAGAUUUAUUCUGUCUCAAACUUAGAUAGCGGGUACAGUUAGGCAUGCAACAUGUAAGCAAAACUUUCUUUAUUUUUUAACUCUCAUACCUUUUCUUGUUCUCUAUUUUCGUUAUAACAGUUUUCUUUACAUGUUUCAUCCAAAGUUGGAGAACGUCUCAAAUAAGAAGAGAUAUUCCAGUCUUGGGUCCGUCAUAUGCUCGCCAACGGUUCACUUUAUUUCCCUCCCUUCGAAGCGGAAGAGUUUCGUCAAGAUGUUCAUUAGUCCGUGUAUCAUUAUGUGGCCAGCAAUGCUGUGGGUACAAUUGUUUCUUGUGACGUUGUGAUCAAAGCAGACAACAUGAACAGCCGCUAUCACCAUGACCAGUGAACUACUUUUUUUUG